rnacentral:rRNA from 1 species
GGAUGCGAUCAUACCAGCACUAAAGCAUCGGAUCCCAUCAGAACUCCGAAGUUAAGCGUGCUUGGGCGAGAGUAGUACUAGGAUGGGUGACCUCCUGGGAAGUCCUAGUGUUGCAUUCC